UCGCAAGAUAUUUUACAAGUAGCACCAUUUUCUAUUGCCAAUUUACGCAGUUGUCUCAACGUAGAAUUUAGUAUUGUUGCAAUUGAGCCACUCUUCAAUUUCGUUUCUUUUCAUUUCGGUGAUGGUAAUAUUUCGAGAUGUUUCGCUUAAGUGCUUCGUUGCUUCGAUUGCCGAUGUUGGAAGCAAUAUAUUUGCCGAAGUUUCUCGAAUUGUACGCACGUGUAUAAUUGAAUUGCAUUUACAUACGGAUAUAUGUACGAAAAUGCAUAAGACAUCCUUAAUUUUGUAGAAGGGUUGCUUUAAUGCCACUUCUGACGCUUAUAGGCAAAAGGUUUUCGACAACUUUGAUGCGUAAUUGGUAUAUUUAUUUUUAAUUUUUUUAAAUUCUCCAAAAGUGCUUCACUGUCACUCGUGUCUUUCUCGUCGUCUUGCAAAAAAGGAAAGAAAACCAGAUGCAGUCAAAAGUCUCGAGGUCACUCUUCAUGCCGACCGGGCUCUCCAACUCGGGCCGGGAUUUCGUGUUACGAUGCAAUGUUUGAGUGCCAAGGAGGCUUACAAGUGGUAGUAGCUAAAACUAAUUCUUAGAUAGACGUGGAAUUUGGUAUAGCAUACCGAUACAAUAUUACAAUAUUGUCAUAAUUUACUAAACUUUUACAAUGGUUUAAAAAAAUUUUUGGUGCCUUCCACACUGAAAGAGUACUAAAACAGUACAACCUUGCUUGCUAUGUUUAUGUGGUGUAGUAAGCAAACAGCUGUUGUUUGUUUACAUUUGCUUCUCGUGAAAAUUCUGUUUUGUUUUGUGCUUAUACCGUCUGGCAAAUCUAGCUGCUUAUAAAACCGGAUCCUUUGCCAAAUAUUCAGCUAAAAGCGAAGCGUGUGCGCAUCAAUCCCACCAAGAAAUGGACCAUAGUAGACGAAAAGGCGCUCAUUGAGUUUUUGAUGGCGAAUGGAGAUUUCGAGAAGCCAACUGAUCAAAACUACUACAGGCGGUUUUCGUUGGAAAUGAAAUUGGAGGUUGAGUGGAAGCUGGCACGAGCGAAAGUACGAAACAUGCGCGACAGCUACAAUAAAGCCGAAGGUUGGGAAGGAUCAACCGGCGCCGGCAGCAUGGAUGGCGACACUUUUCGAACCAUUUUACUUAAAAAGUACACAUUUUUACGAGCUUGGCGACAUUUUUGGCAACAGGCUCGUUGAAGCGGCUGUCAUUGAAGACAGUUUGGACUCCGUAUGUGAAGAUAUUUUCAAUUCAACAGAGCUCCUGUUCGAAGAAACCACAAUGUCGCCAACAAAUAUAUAGGUAAUUGAAAUGCAAGCAGACAUGUUAACUGUGAGGAAGCAGAAAGCUGACCAAGACUUUAGGUUGAGAGAAGAAGAGUUAAGUUAAAAGAAAAAAAUGAAUUAGCAUUGAAGGAAAAAGAAAUGGAAUCAAGAGAAAAGGAGAUGAAGAGUAAUGAAAGGCUAAAAAUUAGAGAGCUGGAAAUGGAGGAGAGACUGGCAAUGGAGGACCUUAACCGAAAAGAUAAAUAAUAAAAAACCACUCACCUACGUACAUACAUACAUAUGUGUGUAGGUACGUACAUAUCGAUGGC